ACUAGUCGAGAGAUCCUGCGCCGAAGAUGUUCGGGGCUAAAACUUACCACCGAAGCUAUGGAUUGAUACGUAAGUAUCAGUGGUAGAGGAGCUUCCUGUAUGGAUUGAAGUCGUACCGAAAGGAGCGGUGGACUGUACAGGAGUGAGUAUGCUGGCAUAAGUAGCGAGAAAUAAGUGAGAAUCUUAUUGGUCGAAAACCUAAGGUUUCCUGAGGAAGGCUCGUCCGCUCAGGGUUAGUCGGGGCCUAAGCCGAGGCCGAAAGGCGUAGGUGAUGGACAAUCGGUUGAUAUUCCGAUACCGCCAAGCUUCCGUUAUUACAAAUGGGAUGACGCAGGAGGAUAAGAUGUGCGCACUAUUGGAUGUGCGUCUAAGCAUCUAGGCAGACUAGACAGGCAAAUCCGUUUAGUCAAUGUUGAGGUGUGAUGGGGAGCCCUUAUGGGCGAAGUAUCUGAUUCCACGCUGCCAAGAAAAGUCUCUAUGGAGGAAGCCCGCGCCCGUACCGCAAACCGACACAGGUAGGUGAGGAGAGAAUCCUAAGACCAGCGGAAGAAUUGUUGUCAAGGAACUCGGCAAAUUGACCCCGUAACUUCGGGAGAAGGGGUGCCUACGCAAGUAGGUCGCAGAGAAUAGGCCCAAGCAACUGUUUAGCAAAAACACAGGUCUCUGCUAAAGCGAAAGCUGAAGUAUAGGGGCUGACGCCUGCCCGGUGCUGGAAGGUUAAGGGGAAUACUUAGCGCAAGCGAAGGUAUGAACUUAAGCCCCAGUAAACGGCGGCCGUAACUAUAACGGUCCUAAGGUAGCGAAAUUCCUUGUCGGGUAAGUUCCGACCCGCACGAAUGGCGUAAUGAUUUGGGCACUGUCUCGACAACAAAUCCGGCGAAAUUGUAUUGCGAGUGAAGAUGCUCGCUACCCGCGAUUGGACGGAAAGACCCCGUAGAGCUUUACUGUAGCUUAGCAUUGAAUUUCGGUAUUGUCUGUACAGGAUAGGUGGGAGACGUCGAUGCAAGGGCGUCAGCCUUUGUGGAGUCAACCUUGGGAUACCACCCUGACAGUACUGGGAUUCUAACCGGCGGCCAUGAAACUGGUCACGGGACACAGCUCGGUGGGCAGUUUGACUGGGGCGGUCGCCUCCAAAAAAGUAACGGAGGCGCCCAAAGGUUCCCUCAGAACGGUUGGAAAUCGUUCGAAGAGUGCAAAGGCAGAAGGGAGCCUGACUGCGACACAAACAAGUGGAGCAGGGACGAAAGUCGGGCUUAGUGAUCCGGUGGUUCCUCGUGGGAGGGCCAUCGCUCAACGGAUAAAAGCUACCUCGGGGAUAACAGGCUGAUCUCCCCCAAGAGUCCACAUCGACGGGGAGGUUUGGCACCUCGAUGUCGGCUCGUCGCAUCCUGGGGCUGAAGUAGGUCCCAAGGGUUGGGCUGUUCGCCCAUUAAAGCGGCACGCGAGCUGGGUUCAGAACGUCGUGAGACAGUUCGGUCCCUAUCCGUCGCGGGCGUAGGAAAUUUGAGAGGAGCUGUCCUUAGUACGAGAGGACCGGGAUGGACUGACCUCUGGUGCACCAGUUGUUCCGCCAGGAGCACAGCUGGGUAGCUAUGUCAGGACGGGAUAAACGCUGAAAGCAUCUAAGCGUGAAGCCCACCUCAAGAUAAGAUUUCCCAUAGCAUAAGCUAGUAAGACCCCUUGAAGAACACAAGGUUGAUAGGUUAGAGGUGUAAGCAUGGUAACAUGUUCAGCUGACUAAUACUAAUAGGUCGAGGGCUUGACCAA
rfam:Clostridium magnum DSM 2767 CLMAG_contig000008, whole genome shotgun sequence.